rnacentral:ncRNA from 1 species
UUCUUCGAGCAAAAGCAGCUAAAGCGGAAGCCAUGCUGCUGCGCCGAGGCCUUGUGCCUCCGGGGCCGCGCGGGAAACGGCGCGACCUUCCCUAGUUGAAAAGGAGAA